CAGCGUCGUCCUCCCCACUCCUCCGCACCCCGCCAGUCCCCUCGUCCCCGCCCCGCCGUCUCCUGGCGCCGGCGUAACCGCUCGUCCCACCUCCCUCCCAGCCAAUCGCUCUUCUCCUCCGCUCGGGGACGCUUCCCCGGGGAAUCCUGUGGCCGGAGAUGCUCGGUCGAGUCGCGGCCCUUGUCGCAGUCAAACUUGAAUGCGUUUGUGAAUCACCUGAGGACCUUGCUACAACACAGAUGCGAAUUCACUUGGUCCAGGGUGGGUUCCCAAGUUUCUAACGAGCGUCCGUGAUACUCUGCUGCUCCCCACCUGCCGGUGGAUCUGCGAGGGCCUUUGACUUACAAAGGGUCCAACAUGCAGAUAAUAUAGAAUAGUUUAUUUUUCCUA